rnacentral:rRNA from 1 species
UACGGAGGGGGCAAGCGUUAUUCGGAAUUAUUGGGCGUAAAGGGCGCGUAGGCGGCUAGAUGUGUCAAAGGUGAAAUCCCUCGGCUCAACUGAGGAACUGCCUUUGAAACUGUCUGGCUUGAGGCCGGGAGAGGGUAGCGGAAUUCCCAGUGUAGCGGUGAAAUGCGCAGAUAUCAGGAAGAACACCCGUGGCGAAGGCGGCUCUCUGGGACGGUACUGACGCUGAGACGCGAAAGCGUGGGGAGCGAACAGG